UACGGAGGGUGCAAGCGUUAAUCGGAAUUACUGGGCGUAAAGCGCACGUAGGUGGUUUGUUAAGCCAGCUGUGAAAUCCCCGGGCUUAACCUGGGAAUGGCAUUUGGGACUGCAAGGCUGGAGUGCGGCAGAGGAGACUGGAAUUCCUGGUGUAGCAGUGAAAUGCGUAGAUAUCAGGAGGAACACCGAUGGCGAAGGCAGGUCUCUGGGCUGACACUGACGCUCAUGCACGAAAGCGUGGGGAGCAAACAGG
rnacentral:rRNA from 1 species